rnacentral:tRNA from 1 species
GGGCCCGUAGCUUAGCCAGGUAGAGUGCUGGGCUCCAGACCCAGUGGUCCGGGGUUCGAGUCCCCGCGGGCCCA